rnacentral:rRNA from 1 species
UACGUAGGGGGCAAGCGUUGUCCGGAUUUAUUGGGCGUAAAGAGCGUGUAGGCGGCCAGACAGGUCCGUUGUGAAAACUAGAGGCUUAACCUCUAGACGUCGAUGGAAACCGUCUGGCUAGAGUCCGGAAGAGGAGAAUGGAAUUCCUGGUGUAGCGGUGAAAUGCGCAGAUAUCAGGAAGAACACCCGUGGCUAAGGCGGUUCUCUAGUACGGUACUGACGCUGAGACGCGAAAGCGUGGGGAGUGAACAGG